rnacentral:rRNA from 1 species
UACGUAGGCAGCGAGCGUUGUUCGGAGUUACUGGGCGUAAAGGGUGUGUAGGCGGUUCUUUAAGUUUGGUGUGAAAUCUCCCGGCUCAACCGGGAGGUGCGCCGAAUACUGAGGGACUAGAGUGCGGGAGAGGAAAGUGGAAUUCCUGGUGUAGCGGUGAAAUGCGUAGAUAUCAGGAGGAACACCGGUGGUGUAGACGGCUUUCUGGACCGUAACUGACGCUGAGACACGAAAGCGUGGGGAGCAAACAGG